AGAGUUUGAUCCUGGCUCAGAUUGAACGCUGAGGCUUAACACAUGCAAGUCGAACGGCAGCACGGACUUCGGUCUGGUGGCGAGUGGCGAACGGGUGAGUAAUGUAUCGGAACGUACCUUUCAGUGGGGGAUAACGUAGCGAAAGUUACGCUAAUACCGCAUAUUCUGUGAGCAGGAAAGCAGGGGAUCGCAAGACCUUGCGCUGAUUGAGCGGCCGAUAUCAGAUUAGCUAGUUGGUGAGGUAAAGGCUCACCAAGGCGACGAUCUGUAGCGGGUCUGAGAGGAUGAUCCGCCACACUGGAACUGAGACACGGUCCAGACUCCUACGGGAGGCAGCAGUGGGGAAUUUUGGACAAUGGGGGCAACCCUGAUCCAGCCAUGCCGCGUGAGUGAAGAAGGCCUUCGGGUUGUAAAGCUCUUUCGGCCGGGAAGAAAUCGCAUAGGUUAAUACCCUGUGUGGAUGACGGUACCGGAAUAAGAAGCACCGGCUAACUACGUGCCAGCAGCCGCGGUAAUACGUAGGGUGCGAGCGUUAAUCGGAAUUACUGGGCGUAAAGCGUGCGCAGGCGGUUUCGUAAGACAGAGGUGAAAUCCCCGGGCUCAACCUGGGAACUGCCUUUGUGACUGCGAAGCUAGAGUACGGCAGAGGGGGGUGGAAUUCCACGUGUAGCAGUGAAAUGCGUAGAGAUGUGGAGGAACACCAAUGGCGAAGGCAGCCCCCUGGGUCGAUACUGACGCUCAUGCACGAAAGCGUGGGUAGCAAACAGGAUUAGAUACCCUGAUAGUCCAUGCCCUAAACGAUGUCAACUAGGUGUUGGGUGGGUAAAACCAUUUAGUACCGGAGCUAACGCGUGAAGUUGACCGCCUGGGGAGUACGGCCGCAAGGUUAAAACUCAAAGGAAUUGACGGGGACCCGCACAAGCGGUGGAUGAUGUGGAUUAAUUCGAUGCACGCGAAAA
rnacentral:rRNA from 1 species